rnacentral:lncRNA from 1 species
GGGGGCUGCCAAGGGAGUCAGGGAUUUGCACCCCAAACUUCAGGUGGUAUCUGAGCUCUGUGUGUCCUUCCUACCCACCUCUCAGCGCUACUUACAUCUGAUAAACUCAAGUGGUGGACAGAACAGAGAGGGCCUCCUCCAAGGUGACUUGCUAAGUCCUCCCCUAAGGACGAAACAGAGAAGCUUCCUGCCCCUGUUACACAUGGCCUCC